rnacentral:tRNA from 1 species
AAGCCCUUAGUUUAAUAAAACUAUCUGAUUUGCAAUCAGGAAAUGCCAAGUUAAUUUCUUGUAGGUCUUA